rnacentral:rRNA from 1 species
GUAGGUGGCAAGCGUUGUCCGGAAUUAUUGGGCGUAAAGCGCGCGCAGGUGGUUCUUUAAGUCUGAUGUGAAAGCCCCCGGCUCAACCGGGGAGGGUCAUUGGAAACUGGGGAACUUGAGUGCAGGAGAGGAAAGUGGAAUUCCACGUGUAGCGGUGAAAUGCGUAGAUAUGUUGAGGAACACCAGUGGCGAAGGCGACUUUCUGGCCUGUAACUGACACUGAGGCGCGAAAGCGUGGGGAGCAAACAGGGAUUAGAUACCCUGGUAGUCCACGCCGUAAACGAUGAGUGCUAAGUGUUGGGGGGGUUUCCCGCCCCUCAGUGCUGCAGCUAACGCAUUAAGCACUCCGCCUGGGGAGUACGGUCGCAAGACUG